rnacentral:snRNA from 1 species
UAUAAAUAUCUGGAUAUUUAA